UAUUUUAAAACAAUAUUUAUCGGGGCCAUCUCCCUCAUCUCGACCGACCGAGCAUCUGCGGCGUUUAGCUAUUGGGGAUCGGCCGCUGCAACACCGGCGGAGGCAACCGCGAGUUCAUCGGCGUCGGAAGCAGCUGUGAGGCCGCAUCGCGAGCACAUCGGCGUCGGAGGCAGCUACGAGGCCGCGUGGCGAGCACAUCGGCGACCGGGUCUGCGGCGAGCGCAUCGGCGGCGGAUCAGGUGCGGCCUGCAGGGCUGCGCUGCGAGCGCAUCGGCCGCGGAGGCAGCUGCGGAGCUGUGCUGCGAGCGCAUCAGCGACGGAGGCUGCGGCGAGCGCAUCGCCUGCAUCGGCAGCUGCGAGCACUACGAGCACAUCGACGACGGCCGGCGAGUGCAUCGGUGGUGGUGGAGAUGCAUCGGCCUCGACGGUGAGAUUCCGAGUCUUGCCGCCGCCUUCUUGUCCUCCACAUCUCGGCGGAACUACGCACGGGCAGGGGCAGCACUCCAAAUCAACCCAAGCCUAAUCUCGCCUCUCUUCUCAUUGCUCGAUGUUGUGGUGAUGCAAUCUCUCUCCUGCUUUAUGCUGGGUGAAAUUCAACCGAUUGUGAAUGGGAUUUGAAUCUCUUUGGUAGCAUAUUUUCGAGGGCAGCACGAAGAAAGAGCAAACCCAUCUUUUUUAGCUGGACUAUCAAUGGGAUAUUGAAUUUGAUUGUAUCUUGGAGAAUUGUUGGAUGUGAAAGAAAAAUUCAGAUCGCAUAUGUUUGAUGUUGUGUACUGAUUCUUUGGUUAAAUUGCAGAACUUAUAAGAGAUUCGGUUCGAUUCAAUUGCUGGCUUAUUCACUGGGCUACACUUCCAUAGCUGCUUUUAUAUAUGUGAUUAUCCAAACAAUCAUUUACCGGGUAUAAUUUUCAAAGGGUUUUUCUUGUGCACAGACGAAUACAGCUGUAUACUGUUUACAGAAGUUGAAACUAGCUAGUCAAGACUCGAGAGACACAUUCAUCCAACACGACACCAGUGAUGAUGUGCAAAAGAAACUCACUACCUGCAAACAUGUGAUAUAUUGGAGUAUGACAACAAAUUACUCUGUUGAUCGAGGAAGGUACAAUUGGCACACUACCAGUGCAAGCAGAGUGGUUAGUCCAGUUCAGAACAUUAUUAAAGAAUUUCCCUGAGGAAAAUCUACGUUCAUAACUAUUUUGUUGAUAUUUUUUAAAAGAAUCAUAUUGCUCAGUUUUCUUUUCCAACAGCUAGGAGCAAAAGUGUACAAAAUGAUAAUGGUAUAAUAUCGAGGAAAAAGUUCAUUUUA